GUGGUUAAGUUACUAAGGGCACACGGUGGAUGCCUUGGCGCUAGGAGCCGAAGAAGGACGCAGCGAACUGCGAUAAGCCUCGGGGAGCGGUAAGCACGCUUUGAUCCGGGGAUCUCCGAAUGGGGCAACCCACCAUUCGUAAUGGAAUGGUAUCCUUCACUGAAUACAUAGGUGAUGAGAAGGCAGACCCGGUGAACUGAAACAUCUAAGUAGCCGGAGGAAGAGAAAACAAUAGUGAUUCCGUCAGUAGUGGCGAGCGAACGCGGAAGAGCCUAAACCGUCGGGUUUACCCGGCGGGGUUGUGGGACGUCUCACUAGGAGUUACAAAAGACUCUUGUAGAUGAACAGCUUGGGAAAGCUGACCAGAGAGCGUGACAGUCGCGUAAUCUAAACAAGAGUCUCUCCGAGACGGAUCCCGAGUAGCGCGGGACACGUGAAAUCCCGUGUGAAUCUGGCAGGACCAUCUGCUAAGGCUAAAUACUACCUAGCGACCGAUAGUGAACCAGUACCGUGAGGGAAAGGUGAAAAGCACCCCGGGAGGGGAGUGAAAUAGUACCUGAAACCGUGUGCUUACAAAUAGUCGGAGCCCGUUAAAAGGGUGACGGCGUGCCUUUUGUAGAAUGAACCGGCGAGUUACGGUAGCGUGCGAGGUUAAGUUGAAGAGACGGAGCCGCAGCGAAAGCGAGUCUGAAUAGGGCGUAAGUACGCUGCCGUAGACCCGAAACCGUGUGAUCUAGCCAUGUCCAGGGUGAAGGUAGGGUAACACCUACUGGAGGCCCGAACCCACGCACGUUGAAAAGUGCGGGGAUGAGGUGUGGCUAGCGGUGAAAUUCCAAUCGAACUCGGAGAUAGCUGGUUCUCCCCGAAAUAGCUUUAGGGCUAGCCUCGGAAUUUAGAGUCUUGGAGGUAGAGCACUGAUUGGGCUAGGGGCCCUCAUCGGGUUACCGAACUCAGUCAAACUCCGAAUGCCAAUGACUUAUGUCCGGGAGUCAGACGGUGAGUGCUAAGAUCCAUCGUCAAAAGGGAAACAGCCCAGACCAUCAGCUAAGGUCCCCAAGUA
rnacentral:rRNA from 1 species